rnacentral:rRNA from 1 species
ACGCUAGUACAGGUGGUGCAUGGCUGUCGUCAGCUCGUGUCGUGAGAUGUUGGGUUAAGUCCCGCAACGAGCGCAACCUUACCCUUAGUUGUUUUCCCGAAAGGAUUACCCUCUAAGGGGACUGCCCCGGACAACGGGGAGGAAGGUGGGGGAUGACGUCAAGUCCGCAUGCUCCUUACGUCUAGGGCUACACACGUCCUACAAUGGGGUCGACAGUGGGAUGCAAAGCCGCGAGGUGGAGCCAAUCCCCAAACGGCCUCUCAGUUCGGAUAGUAGUCUGCAACUCGACUACUUGAAGUCGGAAUCGCUAGUAAUGGCGGAUCAGCAUGCCGCCGUGAAUACGUUCCCGGGUCUU